GCAAACUUGGUCAUUUAGAGGAAGUAAAAGUCGUAACAAGGUUUCCGUAGGUGAACCUGCGGAAGGAUCAUUAAAGCGAGAGUCUAACAGUGCGCUGGAGGACUCUCAAUAGAAACGGGUGUGAACAGCCGCAAGUUAACUUGACCAAAGGUGCCAUCGCGCGCUCCUUGGUUUUUCGGCUGUUCGCAUGUCUGAAUCCGUGUCUUGUGUACCAACUGUUUCCUCGGCGGGCUCGCUCGCCAAUGGGGACUAACUCAAACGCUUUGUUGUAGUAGUACUGUCUGAAUAUAAAAAAACUAUUAAAACUUUCAACAACGGAUCUCUUGGUUCUGGCAUCGAUGAAGAACGCAGC
rnacentral:misc_RNA from 1 species